rnacentral:rRNA from 1 species
CGGUGGAGCAUGUGGUUUAAUUCGACGCAACGCGAAGAACCUUACCAAGGCUUGACAUCCAUAGAAUCCGGCAGAGAUGCAGGAGUGCCUUUCGGGGAACUAUGAGACAGGUGGUGCAUGGUUGUCGUCAGCUCGUGUCGUGAGAUGUUGGGUUAAGUCCCGCAACGAGCGCAACCCCUAUAUUCAGUUGCCAGCAUGUAAAGAUGGGAACUCUGGAUAGACUGCCGGUGAUAAACCGGAGGAAGGUGGGGAUGACGUCAAAUCAUCAUGCCCCUUAUGUCUUGGGCUACACACGUGCUACAAUGGGCAGUACAGACGGAAGCGAAGCUGUGAAGUGAAGCAAAUCCGAGAAAGCUGUUCGUAGUUCGGAUUGUAGGCUGCAACUCGCCUACAUGAAGUCGGAAUCGCUAGUAAUCGCAGGUCAGCAUACUGCGGUGAAUACGUUCCCGGGCCUU